UGAGGAAUAUUGCGCAAUGGGGGCAACCCUGACGCAGUGACGCCGCGUGAGUGAUGAAGGCUUUCGAGUCGUAAAGCUCUGUUAGGUGGAAAGAAACAUCCCGGCGCUAAUAUCACCGGGACUUGACGGUACCACCAGAGGAAGCACCGGCUAACUCCGUGCCAGCAGCCGCGGUAAUACGGAGGGUGCAAGCGUUGUUCGGAUUUACUGGGCGUAAAGGGCGUGUAGGCGGUUAGCUAAGUCAGAUGUGAAAUCCCUUAGCUUAACUAAGGAACGGCAUUUGAAACUAGCUAACUAGAGUACAGGAGAGGAAAGUGGAAUUCCCAGUGUAGAGGUGAAAUUCAUAGAUAUUGGGAGGAACACCGGUAGCGAAGGCGGCUUUCUGGCCUGAUACUGACGCUGAGACGCGAAAGCGUGGGUAGCAAACAGGAUUAGAUACCCUGGUAGUCCACGCCGUAAACGAUGGGAACUAGGUGUAGGAAGUGUUGACCCUUUCUGUGCCGAAGCUAACGCAUUAAGUUCCCCGCCUGGGGAGUACGGUCGCAAGGCUA
rnacentral:rRNA from 1 species